rnacentral:lncRNA from 1 species
UCCUCUGCACAGCUUGCCAGCCACUCUGCCCCAGGCCUGUAGGAUUGCAUGGGGCUGUUGUGAUGUAGCUUUGAGGUAGAUUCAUUACUGAGCUCUGGUCUUUCCAAGCACCCUCACUGAGUUGCAAAGGAUUUACAUACUCUUUUUAAAGCAAUUGCUAUACCAGAAUUCAUUAAAUUUGAGUGGUAUUUAAUUUAUACCUAUACUGCACCUUUUGCAAGUACUGAUCAGCUGUUUACCAGUUCACGUGCUUAGGAGUUUCCCUUCAAGAGGUGAUUUUAUUGGAAAAGAUGCUAACAAAAUCUGCGGAGUUUGUAGAGUGAAAAGUGGUAGAGAUGCAUAAGACCUGAGCAGAGUCAUAGGUUAGAAAAAAAUCAGCAGCUAAUCAGUCUGUAAUUAAUUCAGCUGUAUAAAGUCUGCAGGAGCAAAUGGGUUUUGUUUAAUUCUGGCUCCUGUGGCCCUUUGCUGUCUCUCACAGACAAACAAAUUGAAGAAGAAUGCAGAUUAAGUUAAAAAGAAAUAGCGAUCAUUAUCCUUUCCAUCUUUGAUACUGCUGCUCUUGAGAAUAAAAGAAGGAGAAAGCCAAAUCCUUCUACCCUCUACCUCAACUUCAAAAAUGAGAUCCAUAUUGGUACAAUAAGAAGGACUAAAAUCUCCUUUCUUACUAUUGCUGAAAACACAAAGACCUACAGCUGUUCAUAUUCAGGUACUUAUUACACAUUAAAAGCUCUUAUGUUACACAGAUAUUUGAAUUGACUUUAUGACUUUAAAUGAAAGAAUGUACAAUUUGAAAUAGGUUCUACAGUAAUCCGUACCCAGAUGCUUAUACGGAGUUCAGUUUCAAUGUGAUGCACACAAGGGAAAGUAAUUUCUGUCUUAGAAUCUCUUCGGUCACUCAGGUGCAAGUUUUGAUUGCUUAAACGAAUGUAUUAAAACAAUAAUAUUUUGUGUUCUUUGCCAAAAUUCAUUUCUAUAAUGUGUCAUAAACAUCAUUACAUUUUUGUACAUUUAUACAUAAUGAAGUAGUUAUGCAAGUUUCUGAGCCAGACUGAUAUAUAGAGAGCUAAAUUUCACCCUUGAGUAAGUGAAUCAGAAGGGAGAGAUGAACAUAAGUGAAGUGAAAAAGGAGUAUGAAUAGACUAUUAAGAAAAAACUAGAAAUGGGGUUACUGAAUCUAAUUUUCAUUGAAAAGUUAAGAAGUGAAGUUAGGUAGGCAAAAUUCCAAGCACACUCCAGGAGCAUUGAGCUGAUUUAUUGAGCUGAGAGGUAAAUAUUCGGGAAGCCAAAGCCAAGUGUGGAGGUUAUAACAUGAAGGCACACGUGCAUGCUGAAAUGCUAAUUUCCUGCCAGUUGGUGCAAGAAACAGAAGAGUUUCUUAUGUUCAGGUGCUAGGUGUUCCAGUGGUUGAUUAGAAUAUGCAGGGCCUAUAUUUUUCUGCCCUGACAUAGUCCUUGUUUUGCAUAUGUUCUGUCAUCAGUUGUGACAGUACAGGACAAAAUAGUGGCAACAUCUGUUUUUUCCCUAAUAAUAAUUAUUACUCCCCAUGGGCAAAUUUGCCAGCCCUUGUGAGCUUGAAAUCUUGUGCUUCUUGGAAAACACAGUUUGAUUAGAAGCUACUGAAGAAUGUUCUUUAAAAAAAAAAUGUUUUCAGUGCCUAAGAGCUAUAAUGCGGAAGUGUGACAAUGUCCUUCUAACACUACAGUUGC